UAACCUGCAUGGUAGCGGGGGAUAACUAUUGGAAACGAUAGCUAAUACCGCAUAAUAGCAGUUAUUGCAUGAUAACUGUUUGAAAGGUGCAAUUGCAUCACUACCAGAUGGACCUGCGUUGUAUUAGCUAGUUGGUGGGGUAACGGCUCACCAAGGCGACGAUACAUAGCCGACCUGAGAGGGUGAUCGGCCACACUGGGACUGAGACACGGCCCAG
rnacentral:rRNA from 1 species